CCUACGGGGGGCAGCAGUGGGGAAUAUUGGACAAUGGGCGCAAGCCUGACCCAGCAACGCCGCGUGAAGGAAGAAGGCUCUCGGGUUGUAAACUUCUUUUAUCAGGGACGAAGCAAGUGACGGUACCUGAUGAAUAAGCCACGGCUAACUACGUGCCAGCAGCCGCGGUAAUACGUAGGUGGCAAGCGUUAUCCGGAUUUACUGGGUGUAAAGGGCGUGUAGGCGGGGAAGCAAGUCAGAUGUGAAAACCAUGGGCUCAACCUGUGGACUGCAUUUGAAACUGUUUUUCUUGAGUACUGGAGAGGCAGAUGGAAUUCCUGGUGUAGCGGUGAAAUGCGUAGAUAUUAGGAGGAACACCAGUGGCGAAGGCGGUCUGCUGGACAGCAACUGACGCUGAGGCGCGAAAGCGUGGGGAGCAAACAGGAUUAGAUACCCCAGUAGUC
rnacentral:rRNA from 1 species